GACGAACGCUGGCGGCGUGCUUAACACAUGCAAGUCGAACGGAAAGGCCCUGCUUUUGUGGGGUGCUCGAGUGGCGAACGGGUGAGUAACACGUGAGUAACCUGCCCUUGACUUUGGGAUAACUUCAGGAAACUGGGGCUAAUACCGGAUAGGAGCUCCUGCUGCAUGGUGGGGGUUGGAAAGUUUCGGCGGUUGGGGAUGGACUCGCGGCUUAUCAGCUUGUUGGUGGGGUAGUGGCUUACCAAGGCUUUGACGGGUAGCCGGCCUGAGAGGGUGACCGGCCACAUUGGGACUGAGAUACGGCCCAGACUCCUACGGGAGGCAGCAGUGGGGAAUAUUGCACAACGGGCGGAAGCCUGAUGCAGCAACGCCGCGUGCGGGAUGACGGCCUUCGGGUUGUAAACCGCUUUCGCCUGUGACGAAGCGUGAGUGACGGUAAUGGGUAAAGAAGCUCCGGCUAACUACGUG
rnacentral:rRNA from 1 species